rnacentral:rRNA from 1 species
AUGAGGCCGGCGUGGGGCAACCCAAAAGGUUUGUUGUUCCACCCUUCCGGGGACAAUGUGUUUGUUGCUGAAUUUGGCACCCAGGCAGAUAGAGCUCGGGUGAUCGAGGGCCCGCCGUGGAUGGUGGGCAAACAUGCUGUUCUUCUCAAAGUGUUUGAUCAGAACACCCCACCCCUUCAGGUUCAGUUUGACAGCCUUGCCAUCUGGGCUCGGAUCAUGAAUUUGCCGCCAAGGUUGAUGAAAUCAAAGCUGGGAAUGGAGUUUGCCAAGACAAUUGGCCAUGUCUCCAAAGUGGAGGCUGAUUCUGAUGGCCGGUGCUGGGGAGGCUAUAUGAGGGUCAGAGUGGAGAUUGCGGUACAAGAACCGAUUGUUCGGUAUGUGACUGUGACCUCGGCAAGGCUCAAAUCCACAGAUACCUACUCGGUGAUGUACGAGCGUCUUCCUUUUUACUGCUUCUCAUGUGGGCGCCUGGGGCACUCUUCAAUCUUAUGUACAAGUCCUGGCAUCAGAGAUGACAAUGGGAGCUCCCUUAUGCUGCUAAGAAACUGUGUGUGGCCGAUGUCACCUCCAGGAAAUCGGGUGGAUCAUGAUCUAGUAGUUCAUCAACGUCAGCUGGGGGUGAUGGCAGGGCAGGUGGUGCAAGGUUGUCUUCAUCGAUCCGUGCCAAUCCUAAAGGCCAAGCUAACGUUGCAGAAGUGGAUGGUGAGGUUUCCUCCCCUCCUAAGCGAGGGUCCAGGGGCCGCGGCCGUGGUCCUUCCUCCCGUGGUCGCGGGAGGGGAAGAGGUUCUGUUGAUAAGGAGCUGUUUCCGGAAUCAAAUGAGAAAAUGA